GAAGGCUCCCCUGCAUACACAUUAAAUAAAGUUGUAUCCUUUUCUCCUUCUAAUCUUAGAUCUGCCGCAUGUCAGUGAUUUUCAGCAAACUUUCCAAGGGACAAAGGUUAAAGUCAGCCCUUGGCACCUUCCGUUUGGUGCAGUGAGCAGGGAGAUUAAAACUUCACCCUGCCGGAAGUCACAGUUAUGAGAACCCAAGACCUAAUCUGCUGGCAAAAAGAAUGCAAAAAUUCUAUAAAGAGAAAAUUCCAGCUCCUCUACUAUUACUGGUGAAGGUCAUAUAAGAAAGGCAGAGUUGGGGAAGAAAAUGUACGAGGUGAGCUUGAAUAUCUUGUCAUACCUGAUAGCAAGGAAACUUAUUAUUUCUAAUUUCAGUUCAAAAGAACUCAAGAGCCAAUUUGAGGACGUUCUGAUUAGCUAAACUAUGACAAUCUGAGCAUCAGUAAAAUUAUUAACUACAAACUAUUUUGGGAAAUCGUAUUGCUGGUGAUAAUCUUGGUAUUGCUAUUCUGAGAUGGUUGAGUUUGUAUUGUGAAAUAAAGCAAAUAUGUAUUUAUUUGAUAAUCAAAUUCUGUCAUUCUUGAUGCAAAUAAGAAAGGGGAUUCACGGCGUGGAAAAAAUGAAAUAAAGUUAUAAGUUGAACAUGUUAAAUAAUAUUAUAACACCUGAUAUGGCAUGAUUUCAAAAUGUCCAAAAAACAUUCAUAUUAGUAUAAAUUUAUGUUUCUGAUUAAUAUCAGCGUGCACUCAUGACUCAGUCUAUGCUCUAAAAUUCCUAAAAACAAUCACUAAUCCAAGAGAAAUGGGCAACCCUAAUGCCCAGAUGGCCAUCUGUCAACACCACUUUUCACUUAAAGGAUCCAGUAAGCCUCCUCCGAAAAAGAGUUAUUCCCCCAGGACAACAAACUGCCCUUAAGAGUCAUUUCUUUGUUAUCA